rnacentral:tRNA from 1 species
GCCGCCAUCGCAUAGUGGUAGUGCAAGGGAUUGCUAAUCCCUGCCCUUUGGGCUCCUGGGUUCGAUUCCCAGUGGCGGCG